UCCCUUCAGAGAGUCAAGCACAAUUCCUAC
rnacentral:piRNA from 1 species